CUCCUCAUGAAGCAGUCUGUAUGGUUUAACAACAUAAGACUGAUGGCCAAUUACCUGUCAGUGUGGAAGUGGCGAUACCAGUUAAAACAAGAGGAGAAUGGGAAGACGGACAUUGCCCUGUGGCACUGGAGCCUGGUUCUCCAGAAGAAGAUUCUUGUGGCCUGGUUUGGAUACAUGACAGAGAGAAAGAGGAAGAAAGAGAGAAUCACACAUGCCUUGGAAAGACGGCGGACCCGACAAAUACGACAAGGUGUCACCCAGUGGAUUGCCGUGGCAACAGACCUUUCAGGCAUGAGGGCCAAGAUAGCGGCCCAGCAGCAUGCCCAGGAUGCCUUUGUGAAGCAUCAGCUGGUACAGCGUUGUGCAUUACAUUGGCGGUACAUCACAACCAAGAGGAGGACUCAGAAGGGGGACAACCCAUGCAGGACAGUGAUUGAUCAAGACCAGUUUCAGGCGAAAGAUUUUGAUUAUGUGCCAAAAUUAAAACCUCAGGCAGUUGAGAAGUUGAGGCAAGGGAACACCAGUAAAACAGUACCUAGUCAUCCCCUUGUGUCCACGUCUCCCAAGAGGUUAUCGGAGAAAGAUGCAGAUUUUUCGUCUAUCAGGCUGCCUGGAAGACGAAAACCUCGCCACCCCUCAUUCCUGGAGGAAUCACUCAAGAAAGCCGGUCUGUUCUCAGAAUCCAGGUGUUUUGCUAAUGAUAGCCAUCGAGCACUACAAACUGAAGUAUCUGAUGAAAGACUUGUGAACCAAACUCCAGCCAUGUCUUUCCCUGAUCCUGUCCAGUCUUCCCAUAAUUCACCUGUGUCAAUCACAGGGCAGCAUCAGGAUCCUGUGGAUUCACAUGACAUGUCUCAGGGUAUCGACACACACAUUCCUCACCUAGACUUAUACACAGUGACCAAACAACUCACAAACCUACAGGAAAACAGUGAAGAACUGGAUUUUCACUUGCCUCCACAACAACAUGUACACUUUGACCAUUUCCAAUCCAUACAGAGAGGAUUUGGAGAACAGAUCCAGCUAUUGACUCCGGAUCACUUUCUCCUACAUCCGGAUCAUGAGACUCCAGCAUCUCAGUGUGAUUUUUCCCCUUUGAGUACCCCACGGACUGUAGAUUCUACAUCACUGGCUGUCAGGUCAAUGAUACAAACUAUCGACAGUACUUCUGGCAUCACAGGGACUCCUCAAGGGAUAAAUGAUAUUCAUUCCUUGCCCUUAAGCGAACAAAUAAUCAGGAUCAGAAAUCAGCUGAAAAGUUUUGAACAACAAAAAAAGAAACUAAGAAAGUUGCAGAAGCAACACAAACAACUAGCUACAUGGAUUGUUGAUGAAGAAGGGACCGUGUCAGAAUCGGAAACUCAAGAAGUGAAAGCUGAAGUUGAGGAGAUGGAGAAGGAAAUUAGCAUUUUGCAAAAGGAGAUAGAGCAUAAAAAACCCGAGUGUGGUCGGUUGGUUGUAGAAGUCAACAGUCUCAUCAAAUUAAUGUCAGAGCAGAAUCGGGGAUAAAUGUUGCGAAAUGGUAGUGCUGCAUUAGAAGUUAUCAUAUGAUACUGGUACUUAUUUUCCUUCCACUCCCAUCCAAUACAACAUAUCCCAGCAAAACACUUUGUGCAGAAGAUUAUGGUUACCGGGCAUCGAGAGUCAUUAAUUUAUUAUUUAUUUCAUUUGCAUGUGUUCAUGUUGAUUACCUAAGGCCUGUUCUGCAGAGCAAUUGAUUGCAAAAAUUCCUUUAUAAUACCUGUUGCACAAAUCUUUGCACCUGCUCUGCUGAACAAGCCAAUUGUAUAUAAUUUGUUAUGUAUAUUGGACUAUGUAUUCACAUUACCCAUGAUGCCACGGUUCAUCAUCAUGGUUGUAGAUUUCAGACAGUGCCAAAAUAAACAAUGAUCAAAUUAGUGG
rnacentral:misc_RNA from 1 species